rnacentral:RNase_P_RNA from 1 species
AAACCGCCGAUGGCCCACGCAAGUGGGAUCAGGUAAGGGUGAAAGGGUGCGGUAAGAGCGCACCGCGCGGCUGGUAACAGUCCGUGGCACGGUAAACUCCACCCGGAGCAAGGCCAAAUAGGGGUUCAUAAGGUACGGCCCGUACUGAACCCGGGUAGGCUGCUUGAGCCAGUGAGCGAUUGCUGGCCUAGAUGAAUGACUGUCCACGACAGAACCCGGCUUAUCGGUCAGUUUCACUU